CACAGAGGUCCCAAGCGUUGUUCGGAUUUACUGGGCGUAAAGGGUUCGUAGGUGGUGCGGUAAGUUUGGAGUGAAAUCUCUGGGCUUAACCCAGAGGCUGCUUUCAAAACUGCCGUGCUCGAGUGCGAGAGAGGUCAGUGGAAUUGCAGGUGUAGCGGUGAAAUGCGUAGAUAUCUGCAGGAACACCCGUGGCGAAGGCGGCUGACUGGAUCGCAACUGACACUGAGGAACGAAAGCUAGGGGAGCAAACAGG
rnacentral:rRNA from 1 species